GGGGAUAUGGCUCAAUGAUAGAGCACUAGCCUGUCUUGAGGCCUUGGGUUCAACCCUCAGUACCACUA
rnacentral:tRNA from 1 species